AUGACGCUACCCCAAUCCUCAGCCGAACUGCCCCGCGGCACCCUCCCGGGCACUCUCCCCGCCGCCCGCACAACGCCCUCAUCGGCGCGCUCUUCGCCAGAGCAGCCCGGAGCGGCGUGCACUGGAAGCCGGAGCCGGGAAGGAGUGCGGCCACCGCCGGGAGGCAAGGGGAGGCGUGGUCGCGCUCUUUCCGGUCGGCCAUGGAGGCCGCGCGCAAGCCCGCGUUGCGGCAGCGCCCGCUCCCCCUCACCUCUCCGGCCGCACCGGUCUCCUCCCAAAGGACGAAGUGGGCGCAUGUGUGGCGGCCGGAGAGGGAACGAGGCUGCGCGCAAGCCCGCGGCGUGGCGGCGCGGAUCCCUCUUCCCCCUGCCGGUUUGA
rnacentral:rRNA from 1 species